rnacentral:rRNA from 1 species
UGAGGAAUAUUGCACAAUGGGCGCAAGCCUGAUGCAGCGACGCCGCGUGGGUGAAGAAGGUUUUCGGAUCGUAAAACCCUUUUCUGUGUGACGAGAACGGACGGUAGCACAGGAAUAAGUCUCGGCUAACUACGUGCCAGCAGCCGCGGUAAAACGUAGGAGACAAACGUUAUCCGGAGUUACUGGGCGUAAAGGGCGUGCAGGCGGCAGUCUAAGUCUGGCGUGAAAUAUCCCGGCUUAACCGGGGAAGGUCGUCGGAUACUGGGCAGCUAGAGGGCGGUAGAGGCGUGUGGAAUUCCGGGUGUAGUGGUGAAAUGCGUAGAGAUCCGGAGGAACACCAGUGGCGAAGGCGACACGCUGGGCCGCACCUGACGCUAAGACGCGACAGCAUGGGGAGCAAACAGGAUUAGAUACCCACGUAGUCCCUGAGCGGGCUGGCAAGGCGCAU